CGGAUAGUAGUUCAGUUGGGAGAAUACUUAGUGCGCUAAGAGGUCAUGGGUUCAAAUCCUGUCUAUCCGA
rnacentral:tRNA from 2 species